GACGAACGCUGGCGGCGUGCUUAACACAUGCAAGUCGAACGAUGAAGCCGGAGCUUGCUCUGGUGAAUUAGUGGCGAACGGGUGAGUAACACGUGAGUACCUGCCCUUGACUCUGGGAUAACUGCGGGAAACUGUAGCUAAUACCGGAUACGACCCUCGGAGGCAUCUCCUGGGGGUGGAAAGAAUUUCGGUCAAGGAUGGACUCGCGGCCUAUCAGCUAGUUGGUGAGGUAAAGGCUCACCAAGGCGACGACGGGUAGCCGGCCUGAGAGGGUGACCGGCCACACUGGGACGGAGAGACGGCCCAGACUCCUAGGGGAGGCAGCAGUGGGGAAUAUUGCACAAUGGGCGCAAGCCUGAUGCAGCAACGCCGCGUGAGGGAUGACGGCCUUCGGGUUGUAAACCUCUUUUAGCAGGGAAGAAGCGAAAGUGACGGUACCUGCAGAAAAAGCACCGGCUAACUACGUGCCAGCCGCCGCGGUAA
rnacentral:rRNA from 1 species